UACGAACCGUGCGAACGUUAUUCGGAAUCACUGGGCUUAAAGGGCGCGUAGGCGGGCCGAAAAGUCAGGGGUGAAAUCCUCCAGCCCAACUGGAGAAGCGCCUUUGGUACUGUCGGCCUCGAGGGGUGCAGGGGCAUGCGGAACUCAGGGUGGAGCGGUGAAAUGCGUAGAUAUCCUGAGGAACACCGGUGGCGAAAGCGGCGUGCUGGACACCUUCUGACGCUGAGGCGCGAAAGCCAGGGGAGCGAACGGG
rnacentral:rRNA from 1 species